rnacentral:lncRNA from 10 species
AAUCCUGCCACUGUCCCCUGCCUGCCUUCACGGGUGCCAGCAUCACCCCUUUGUUCUCUAGGAUUUUACUGCCCUGAGGGCAGUGGAGAGCCCAUUCCUUGUCCACCUCACACACUGGUGGCUGACCCUGGAGCCAAGCAGAAAGAGGACUGUGGGCCUUGCCCCCCUGGGCGCUGGUGCAAAGCAGGUGAGGCGGGGGACGGUGGGACCUGUGGCACAGCCCGGAAUGUGCUGCUUCCUGAGGGAGACCUGGGGCAGCCGAAUCUGGGGAGAAAAGUGAGGGCAGCCCUUGCUCUGCAGGCACCCCGGCCACUCAGGCCUGCCCCUCUGGCCACUACUGUCCUGGAGGAAGUGAGACCCAUCUGGGGGUCCCCCGGGCCUGCCCUGAGCAUACCUACCUGGCAGCUGAAGGAGGCCAGAGUCAGGCGGAGUGCCUCCCCUGCCCCGCCGGGUACCACUGGCCGUGGCCAGGUAAGAGCCUGUCUGCAGGCUGGAUGUGGGGGCCUUGGGAAGGAGAGGGAAGAGGCUGUCAGGAGCCCCUCGGGCAACUCUUCUUAGCCUGAUGCUUUUGCCCCCAGGUCUCUCUUCCUUUGAAGACCACCCAUGUCCUCCUGGCCACUGGUGUCCAGGUGACCAGGGUGCCUUUCUCUGCCCACCUGGCACCUUUCGGUCAGAGCCGGGGGCAUCAGCACAGGAAGACUGUGAACUCUGCCCUCCCGGCUACCGCUGCCCAGACCCUGAGCUUCAGGGCCGUGCAAAUGUGUUUCCCAUGCCCUGCCGAGCUGGAUCUGAGUGCCCAGCAGCUGUGUCUUUCCCCAUUACUGCCCCCCGGGCAGCGCCCAACCUCGUGCCUGCCCUGGGGGCUCCGAAGCCCUGAAUGGGACCGGCCUCAGGGUCUCUGAGGAGACAUGCUGCCGCCUCUGUGAAGCGGGCACCUACCGCAGCCGGACCCUGGAUGCCCUACCCUGCCAGCCCUGCC